rnacentral:rRNA from 1 species
GACGAACGCUGGCGGCGUGCUUAACACAUGCAAGUCGAACGAAGUGGCGAACGGGUGAGUAACGCGUAAUCAACCUGCCCUUCAGAGGGGGACAACAGUUGGAAACGACUGCUAAUACCGCAUACUGGAGGAGGGGAUUGCGUCUGAUUAGCUAUUUGGAGGGGUAACGGCCCACCAGGGCGAUGAUCAGUAGCCGGUUUGAGAGAAUGAACGGCAACAUUGGUACUGAGACAAGGCCCAGACUACUACGGGAGGCAGCAGGGGGGAAUCUGCCGCAAUGGACGAAAGUCUGACGGAGCAACGCCGCGUGAGUGAUGACGGCCUUCGGGUUGUAAAGCUCUGUUAAUCGGGACGCGGUACCGGAAUAGAAAGCCACGGCUAACUACGUGCCAGCAGCCGCGGUAAUAC